rnacentral:rRNA from 1 species
AGAGUUUGAUCCUGGCUCAGGAUGAACGCUAGCGACAGGCCUAACACAUGCAAGUCGAGGGGCAGCGGAGAGGUAGCAAUACCUUUGCCGGCGACCGGCGCACGGGUGAGUAACACGUAUGCAAUCCACCUGUAACAGGGGGAUAACCCGGAGAAAUCCGGACUAAUACCCCAUAAUAUGGGCGUUCCGCAUGGAGAGCUCAUUAAAGAGAGCAAUUUUGGUUACAGACGAGCAUGCGCUCCAUUAGCCAGUUGGCGGGGUAACGGCCCACCAAAGCGACGAUGGAUAGGGGUUCUGAGAGGAAGGUCCCCCACAUUGGAACUGAGACACGGUCCAAACUCCUACGGGAGGCAGCAGUGAGGAAUAUUGGUCAAUGGUCGGCAGACUGAACCAGCCAAGUCGCGUGAGGGAAGACGGCCCUACGGGUUGUAAACCUCUUUUGUCGGAGAGUAAAGUACGCUACGCGUAGUGUAUUGCAAGUAUCCGAAGAAAAAGCAUCGGCUAACUCCGUGCCAGCAGCCGCGGUAAUACGGAGGAUGCAAGCGUUAUCCGGAUUUAUUGGGUUUAAAGGGUGCGUAGGCGGCACGCCAAGUCAGCGGUGAAAUUUCCGGGCUCAACCCGGACUGUGCCGUUGAAACUGGCGAGCUAGAGUACACAAGAGGCAGGCGGAAUGCGUGGUGUAGCGGUGAAAUGCAUAGAUAUCACGCAGAACCCCGAUUGCGAAGGCAGCCUGCUAGGGUGAAACAGACGCUGAGGCACGAAAGCGUGGGUAUCGAACAGGAUUAGAUACCCUGGUAGUCCACGCAGUAAACGAUGAAUACUAACUGUUUGCGAUACAAUGUAAGCGGUACAGCGAAAGCGUUAAGUAUUCCACCUGGGGAGUACGCCGGCAACGGUGAAACUCAAAGGAAUUGACGGGGGCCCGCACAAGCGGAGGAACAUGUGGUUUAA